AGAGUUUGAUCCUGGCUCAGGACGAACGCUGGCGGCGCGCCUAACACAUGCAAGUCGAACGGAGCUUAGAGAGCUUGCUUUUUAAGCUUAGUGGCGAACGGGUGAGUAACGCGUGAGUAACCUGCCCUAGAGUGGGGGACAACAGUUGGAAACGACUGCUAAUACCGCAUAAGCCCACGGUACCGCAUGGUACUGAGGGAAAAGGAUUUAUUCGCUUUAGGAUGGACUCGCGUCCAAUUAGCUAGUUGGUGAGGUAACGGCCCACCAAGGCGACGAUUGGUAGCCGGACUGAGAGGUUGAACGGCCACAUUGGGACUGAGACACGGCCCAGACUCCUACGGGAGGCAGCAGUGGGGGAUAUUGCACAAUGGGGGAAACCCUGAUGCAGCGACGCCGCGUGGAGGAAGAAGGUCUUCGGAUUGUAAACUCCUGUUGUUGAGGAAGAUAAUGACGGUACUCAACAAGGAAGUGACGGCUAACUACGUGCCAGCAGCCGCGGUAAAACGUAGGUCACAAGCGUUGUCCGGAAUUACUGGGUGUAAAGGGAGCGCAGGCGGGAAGACAAGUUGGAAGUGAAAUCCAUGGGCUCAACCCAUGAACUGCUUUCAAAACUGUUUUUCUUGAGUAGUGCAGAGGUAGGCGGAAUUCCCGGUGUAGCGGUGGAAUGCGUAGAUAUCGGGAGGAACACCAGUGGCGAAGGCGGCCUACUGGGCACCAACUGACGCUGAGGCUCGAAAGUGUGGGUAGCAAACAGGAUUAGAUACCCUGGUAGUCCACACCGUAAACGAUGAUUACUAGGUGUUGGAGGAUUGACCCCUUCAGUGCCGCAGUUAACACAAUAAGUAAUCCACCUGGGGAGUACGACCGCAAGGUUGAAACUCAAAGGAAUUGACGGGGGCCCGCACAA
rnacentral:rRNA from 1 species